AAAGCUCUCUUCUUACAUUAUGUCUGGCUUUUGUCUCUUCACACUUAUGUCUUUCUUAAUUUUCUUUAAUUUUAUUUUAUCUAUGCAACAAAGGAUGUUUGUCCUUCCACAGACUCUCAUAGGUUUACAUUAAUAAUACAUGAGGUUUUUUUUUUUUCACUGUAUCAUCAACCACAUGACUGCAAGCAACUAAACUCAAAGGUUUGCUUGACUUUCACUCUGAUAAGCGCCUGAAAGAGCAAAACAAUACACUGAUUUUACUUCAGGCUGUUUGCCCUUCAAAGAAGGGAAAGAAGCAAUUUAAACAGGACGUAAACGGGAAGAAGGAGGGAAGAAGUGAUGUGGGGGAAAAAGUGAAAGAACAAGGACUGAAGGGUCGCAGGGAGCCUGGAGCCUACUGCAGUGGACCCAGGGCACAAGGCAGGGGGAACCCUGGACAUGGUGCCAACCCAUCAUAGGGCACAUCUGCACACACACACACUAUGGACAAUUUCAGAGAUGCCAAUUAGUCUACAAUGCAUGCCUUUGGACUGGGGAGGAAAGCUCCAAAGCAGCGCACGAACAUGCAAGCUCCACACGCAAAGGGUGGAGGUGGAAAUCAAGCCCCCAACCCCAGAGGUCCAAGGCAAACAUGCUAACCACUAAGCCACUGUGCCCUACCCUAAGCAUUUGAAUUUCAAAGAAAAAAAGAGGAAGUGUGUGUGUGUGUGUGUGUGUGUAAAAUCUCCUGGCAGGACAUGAAUCAGUCCAGUUAAAUUUCCUGCAAUAACUCAACUAGAACAGGUGCUGCAGUUACAGUUAUACACGGAUGACAGCAAUGAAACAAUUACAGAAAUCUAAACAACUGAAUGACAAAAAGUCAACUGAAUGCCCCAUUCAAUCCCAUCAAACAGAACAGAAUCUUUCCAGGAAACAGAAGCAGUCCAGGGAGCAACCACAAGCUCUGAAAUCAGACACUGUGCUAUUGGUAAGGUCAAUGCUUAAAUAUAUAAUGAGCAAAUGGGCAAAGCUUCUUCAAUGUCUACCAAAGACCAGCUAAAUAAAUUUGUACUGGUAACUAACUUUCUGCUGUGGAGGGUUCCAUAUGGAAACCCUAAAGACUUGUUCUUCCCAAAAACAGUUUACGCCUAAGUCUCAGCCUUGCUUCAGUGUAUAAUCUCACCUGGAUGUAGUGUAUUUGUCCACAAACUCUCCCUUUCCCCUUGCCUUCUUAUACAGGCUGACACACUGGAUUAUGGAAUAUGUAAGACAUUAAAGGCUAUGUUUCCUUCAAAAAUAAAGGCACCAUUAUAUGCAGACAUUCAAUUUGGA